UAAUACAGAGGUCCCGAGCGUUGUUCGGAUUCACUGGGCGUAAAGGGUGCGCGGGUGGUUGGGCAAGUUUGAUGUGAAAUCUCCGGGCUUAACCCGGAAACUGCAUUGAAAACUGCCUGGCUGGAGGAUUGGAGGGGGGACUGGAAUUCUCGGUGUAGCAGUGAAAUGCGUGGAUAUCGAGAGGAACACCAGUGGCGAAGGCGAGUCCCUGGACAAAUCCUGACACUGAGGCACGAAAGCCGGGGGAGCAAACAGGAUUAGAUACCCUGGUAGUCCCGGCUGUAAACGGUGCGCGUUUGCUGUAAGAGGAAUCGACCCCUUUUGUGGCGAAGCUAACGCGAUAAACGCGCCGCCUGGGGAGUACGGUCGCAAGAUUAAAACUCAAAGGAAUUGACGG
rnacentral:rRNA from 1 species